CAUUCGGUACAACACUGCUUUUGCUUUUUCUUUUUCUUUUCUUCUUCUUCUCUCACCUACAAAACCCUAACCCUAAUCUAUCUUCUUCUUCACCAUCACACUUCACCAUGGAUGUUGCUCCUCAAACUCCCGACCCCGGCCAUAACUAUCUUGCUCACCAACCUUAAUCCCCAACCCUUAUUGAAGCUUCCUCAACAGUUGGCAUCGCCUUCUUCCUAUUUUUUUUGGAUCUCGCUAUUCGCUUCUCUCUUCUUUGAAGCCUCGAAUCCCUCUCCCUUUGGCGAGUGAGUGAGAGAGAAGGCACCCGAGCUUCAUUUGGUUUUGGUUUCCACGAUCGAUUAGGGUUGGGUGUGGAGAUUGCUUGAUUUCUAGGUAACACCGAAGGAUUUAAUCUUUGCUUGCAUCUCCGAGUGGCCUUUUCUGGUUGAUCGGCCUCUCAGGCUCCAAAUCCUUCUCAUUAGUCACUAAGAAUUCUAUAAUAUAAAUUGGUUCAAGAGAAGUGGCAGAAAUUGAACGUUCUCUACAAGAUCGUAUACGCCAUAGAUUGGAGCUUGAGAUCCAAUAAAAUUGUUACUGCUUCUCAUGACUCGCCUGCAACGUCAAAGUAUUCCGGGCCGAGAUGGAUGGGCCCACCAUUAGCUGUAAUCUCCAUGUCAUCAUCAUGUGACACAAGACAUGGAACGGGUCCACCACCACUUCUUGUGUGAAUCCAAUUCUUCUUGCUCCGGUCCCCACCGUCGAAUACUAGCAAGUGGCUAG